rnacentral:tRNA from 1 species
GGGCUGGGGCUCAGUGAUAGAGUGCUUGCCUAGCACACAUGAGGCCCUGGGUUCUAUCCUCAGCAUCACA